rnacentral:miRNA from 1 species
UGAGUAAGACACUGGCCCUGGCCCCAAGGAGCUUACAAUCUAGCUGGAUGUAUGCAGGAUGAGAAAAGUGCAUAAACAAAAAGGCUGAGAG